GUGGGGAAUAUUGGACAAUGGGCGAAAGCCUGAUCCAGCAAUGCCGCGUGAGUGAUGAAGGCCCUAGGGUUGUAAAGCUCUUUUACCAGGGAUGAUAAUGACAGUACCUGGAGAAUAAGCUCCGGCUAACUCCGUGCCAGCAGCCGCGGUAAUACGGAGGGAGCUAGCGUUGUUCGGAAUUACUGGGCGUAAAGCGCGCGUAGGCGGUUUUUUAAGUCAGAGGUGAAAGCCCGGGGCUCAACCCCGGAAUUGCCUUUGAAACUGGAAAACUUGAAUCUUUGAGAGGUCAGUGGAAUUCCGAGUGUAGAGGUGAAAUUCGUAGAUAUUCGGAAGAACACCAGUGGCGAAGGCGACUGACUGGACAAGUAUUGACGCUGAGGUGCGAAAGCGUGGGGAGCAAACAGGAUUAGAUACCCGAGUAGUCC
rnacentral:rRNA from 1 species